CCUACUGGAGGCAUCAUUGAGGCAUCUUGGUCAAUGGGCGGAAGCCUGAACCAGCCAAGUAGCGUGCAGUCUUCCUUCCCUCCUUUUUUUCCCCUUCUUUUCUCCUUUCCUCCCGCGCCUUACGUGUAGGGCUUUGCAUGUACCGUAUGAAUAAGGACCGGCUAAUUCCGUGCCAGCAGCCGCGGUAAUACGGAAGGUCCGGGCGUUAUCCGGAUUUAUUGGGUUUAAAGGGAGCGUAGGCCGCAUGUCAAGCGUGCUGUGAAAUGUCCGGGCUCAACCCGGGCCUUGCAGCGCGAACUGGCGUGCUUGAGUCCGCGGAAAGCAGGCGGAAUUCGUCGUGUAGCGGUGAAAUGCUUAGAUAUGACGAAGAACCCCGAUUGCGAAGGCAGCUUGCUGCAGCGGAACUGACGCUGAUGCUCGAAAGCGCGGGUAUCGAACAGGAUUAGAUACCCCGGUAGUC
rnacentral:rRNA from 1 species